UGGUGCGUGAAAAAAAACAGAAUCUCCACUCUCCUUUUAUCGGCAACAUUGUUGCUGUUAAUUAGAAUCGUCAAUUACCAACUAGGUCUCCUUAUUUACUUUCUCCAAUUAGGUAGAAGUAUGCUAGUAUGCUUGUUCAGAGUGUUUAGAAUGAAGACACGAGUUGAAUCUCUUUCCUUUGUGGUUAAUAUGUAAGUUGAAAGAUUGAAGCAGAAUUAUACCCAUAUCAAGUUAUCAAAGGAAUUUAGUUCACCCAAUAUUGAUGCAUAGCAAAUGGACCUGGAAGAUUAUUCAACUUCAACUUUGAUGUGCCGACCUUUCCUUGUUUUUUCUUAUAAUUUCACUUAAUACAGUACAUCUCCUUUGGAUUGUGUUUUCCAUCCCUGAAUUCUGCUGGAAUUGAACCGAUUACUGCAAAUUUUUGGUCAAAUCUGUGGGUUCCAAAGGAGGCCUAAGAGUAUGAAGAACAAACCUGAACUUGUUUUUUUUUUAUUUUUUUGAAAAGUUAACUUGUUAUUCUUUAGUGCACAAUCCCCAAUAAAAAACUUUCCUGUUAAGUUGAAGUUCUCUGGGUUUCCCUGAUACUGAUGGAUGUUUCUUGAGACAGAAAAUUUAUCAGAGUUACUGUUAGUGAUUACUCUACUGCGAGCAUUUUUUAUAAGCUACUAGUCCCUCCUUUUGUAUCGCCUUUUGGUAGUACAGUACAACUUAAGUUAUCAACACAGUAUUUUCUUGUCAGUUGUUCUCAUUAGCUUUCUUUCCUAGAUUUCCUGUUAAGUUGAAGUUCUCUGGGUUUCCCUGAUACCAAUGAAUGUUCGUUGAGAGAAAAUUUAUUUGAGUUAGUGAUAAGUGAUUACUCUACUGCAAGCAAUUUUUUUAUAAGCUAUUAGUCCCUCCUGUUUUGUUGUCACCUUUUGGUAGUACAGUACAACUUAAGUUAUCAACAGAGUAUUUUCUUGUCAGUUGUUCUCAUUAGCGUUCUUUCCUCCCUUUGCAGUUAAGAUUGGC
rnacentral:lncRNA from 1 species